rnacentral:sRNA from 1 species
UAAGCAUUAUGGUAACUUGCAACCGACCC